rnacentral:rRNA from 1 species
UCUGGUACCUUCGGUGCCCGAGUUGUAAUUUGGAGAGGGCAACUUUGGGGCCGUUCCUUGUCUAUGUUCCUUGGAACAGGACGUCAUAGAGGGUGAGAAUCCCGUGUGGCGAGGAGUGCGGUUCUUUGUAAAGUGCCUUCGAAGAGUCGAGUUGUUUGGGAAUGCAGCUCUAAGUGGGUGGUAAAUUCCAUCUAAAGCUAAAUAUUGGCGAGAGACCGAUAGCGAACAAGUACAGUGAUGGAAAGAUGAAAAGAACUUUGAAAAGAGAGUGAAAAAGUACGUGAAAUUGUUGAAAGGGAAGGGCAUUUGAUCAGACAUGGUGUUUUGUGCCCUCUGCUCCUUGUGGGUAGGGGAAUCUCGCAUUUCACUGGGCCAGCAUCAGUUUUGGUGGCAGGAUAAAUCCAUAGGAAUGUAGCUUGCCUCGGUAAGUGUUAUAGCCUGUGGGAAUACUGCCAGCUGGGACUGAGGACUGCGACGUAAGUCAAGGAUGCUGGCAUAAUG